ACGGAAGGCAGCAGUGGGGAAUAUUGGGCAAUGGGCGAAAGCCUGACCCAGCGACGCCGCGUGAGCGAAGAAGGUCUUCGGAUUGUAAAGCUCUGUUGAUAGGGACGAACAAAUGACGGUACCUAUCGAGGAAGCCACGGCUAACUACGUGCCAGCAGCCGCGGUAAUACGUAGGUGGCAAGCGUUAUCCGGAUUUACUGGGUGUAAAGGGUGUGUAGGCGGGGGAGCAAGUCAGAUGUGAAAUCUAUGGGCUUAACUCAUAGACUGCGUCUGAAACUGUUCUUCUUGAGAGUCGGAGGGGUAAUCGGAAUUCCCGGUGUAGCGGUGAAAUGCGUAGAUAUAAGGAGGAACACCAGUGGCGAAGGCGGAUUGCUGGACAGUAACUGACGGUGAGGCGCGAAAGUGUGGGGAGCAAACAGGAUUAGAUACCCUGGUA
rnacentral:rRNA from 1 species